AAUUCUCUUAUUCAGUUUAUAUUCUUACAAAUGUCGAACACACUCUGUUUUUGUUCUUUUAGUUCUGUUCUCUUCUGUUCUGCUACUUGAGUUCUCGUUCUCACUCGAACUUAAUGCUCAUUAGCCGAGGGAGAAACGAAUUUUUGAAGGCAUAUAAAGGUAAAAGUCUCUGCUCUAAUAAUUAAUUCCUCUAGUUUUCCCUUUACCAUUAGAAGAUUUCUCUGUUAAUUGCUGUGUUUGUCAUCUUCCAUACAUGUUUUAUAGAGUUCAACAAACAUUAAGAUGCUCUGUUUUAGCUGUCAUGACUCUGUUUAGUUAGUGUAGUAAACUAUUUUAGUUAUAUAUGUGUGUCUUCAAUUAUAUAUAUCAUGUUGUGAGAUCAAUUAUGUGUAUGGUAUUCUGAGUUUUAUAUAUGUUCUGUACUAGGAAAACUGAAUGGUUUUUUAAUAUUUGUGAAAAGCAAAGACAUAAAAGGUUUUGUCUAAAAAGAUUUUUGGAUUUUUAUAGUAAGCGUACUAAUUAUACAUGAAGCAAAAUUGUUGACAGCGGAAGAUUAAAGAAUUGUAAUGAAAAUUGAUCUUGAUUAAUUUUGCAGAGUGGUAGUGAAGGAAACAGAGCAUAUUGGGCUGUGUCCAGAGUUUUCCAUCUUCUGCUUGGCCAGCCUUUGAAGUUAACCAGACUCUGUGUAUAUAAACUAUUGUAACAUGUUUUUUUUGUUUUUUGAUGACAUGGAUCAUGUAUAGAUCAUAGAUGUGUGUAUAGGGGUGUGGAUGAAAUAGCGGGGACGUGUGUAACAUGUGUGUAGAUGUAUGUGUAGGGUGAAUGUGUGUAGAUGUAUGUGUAGGGUGAAUGUGUGUAUGUCUAGUCUGCGUAGAUGGGCGUGUGUCGAAACAAAAUGAUCACACACAAAUGACUAACAAAUCUAAUCGCUCUAACCAAACGAUCGCUAGUCGAAACACUAAAAUUACUAACUUGGUCCCGAAUCGUUAAAAGAACAAAUGGCUACCAGUUCACACAAAUGACCAACAAAUCUGAUCACUAACACUUAGUCGAAAUUCACUAGAAAACUGAACAGACGAUCGUUGGAACACACUAAAAUUGCUAAACUAACUCGGUACCUAAUCGUUUAAGACCAAUAAACACACA